GGGCCGGUAGCUCAGUUGGUAGAGCAUCCGUCUAGUAUAGGACGGUCCUAGGUUCAACUCCUAGCCAGUCCA